rnacentral:rRNA from 1 species
CUACGGGUUGCAGCAGUGAGGAAUUUUGCGCAAUGGAGGAAACUCUGACGCAGCGACGCCUCGUGAACGAUGAAGUCUUUCGGGAUGUAAAGUUCUGUCAGUGGGGAAGAUAAUGACGGUACCCACAGAGGAAGUACCGGCUAAUUACGUGCCAGCAGCCGCGGUAAUACGUAAGGUGCGAGCGUUAUCCGGAUUUAUUGGGCGUAAAGGGUGCGUAGGCGGCUAGGUAAGUUAGGUGAAAGAUACAGGCUCAACCUGUAUUUGCGCCUAAAACUGCUUAGCUAGAAGAUGCUAGAGGAAAGCGGAACUCACAGUGUAGCGGUGAAAUGCGUAGAUAUUGUGAGGAACACCAGUGGCGAAGGCGGCUUUCUGGGGCAUUCUUGACGCUGAGGCACGAAAGCGUGGGGAGCAAACAGGAUUGAUACCCGAGUAGUC